rnacentral:piRNA from 1 species
UGCCUGUGAAUGCUGUACCUCGGUCAGU